rnacentral:rRNA from 1 species
UACGUAGGGGGCUAGCGUUGUCCGGAAUGAUUGGGCGUAAAGGGCGCGUAGGCGGCUUGGCAAGUCAGAUGUGAAAGCCCGGGGCUUAACCCCGGAAGUGCAUUUGAAACUGCCCGGCUAGAGUAUAGUAGAGGUUGGCGGAAUAUCCAGUGUAGAGGUGAAAUUCGUAGAUAUUGGAUGGAACACCAGUGGCGAAGGCGACUCACUGGCCCGAUACUGACGCUGAGGCGCGAAAGCGUGGGGAGCAAACAGG